UACGUAGGGGGCAAGCGUUUGUCCGGAAUCAUUGGGCGUAAAGCGCGUGUAGGCGGCCUUGUAAGUCCGUUCUGAAAGCCCGGGGCUCAACCCCGGGAGGCGGAUGGAUACUGCCCGGGCUAGAGUCCGGAAGAGGCGAGUGGAACUCCUGGUGUAGCGGUGGAAUGCGCAGAUAUCAGGAAGAACACCAACGGCGAAGGCAGCUCGCUGGGACGGUACUGACGCUGAGACGCGAAAGCGUGGGGGAGCGAACAGG
rnacentral:rRNA from 1 species